GCAAACUUGGUCAUUUAGAGGAAGUAAAAGUCGUAACAAGGUUUCCGUAGGUGAACCUGCGGAAGGAUCAUUAUUGAAUAAACUGAAGAUGGAUUGCUGCUGGCUUUUUGGAGCAUGUGCACAUUCACUUCAUCGUUUAAAAUCUCCUGUGCACUUUUUGUAGAAUCUUGGUUUGGGUGACUGGCACGAUCAAUGCCUGUCUUGCCUGUUGUUGUGCUUUCAAGGUUCUAUGUCUUAACAAUAACUCUGCAUGUAUCAGAAUGUAGUUCAUAAGGCCGUUACCGCCUUUAAAAUAUAAAUACAACUUUCAACAACGGAUCUCUUGGCUCUCGCAUCGAUGAAGAACGCAGC
rnacentral:misc_RNA from 1 species